GGCGAGGUAGCUCAGUUGGUUAGAGCGCAGGAUUCAUAACCCUGAGGUCGGCAGUUCAAAUCUGCUUCUCGCUAC
rnacentral:tRNA from 1 species